UGAGGAAUAUUGGUCAAUGGGCGCAAGCCUGAACCAGCCAUCCCGCGUGAAGGAUGAAGGUCCUAUGGAUUGUAAACUUCUUUUAUACACCAAGAAAAACUCGAACGAGUUCGAGCCCGACGGUAGUGUAUGAAUAAGCAUCGGCUAACUCCGUGCCAGCAGCCGCGGUAAUACGGAGGAUGCAAGCGUUAUCCGGAUUCAUUGGGUUUAAAGGGUGCGUAGGCGGCUUUUUAAGUCAGUGGUGAAAUCCUGCCGCUUAACGGUAGAAUUGCCAUUGAUACUGAAAAGCUUGAGUACAAUUGAGGUAAGCGGAAUGUGUAGUGUAGCGGUGAAAUGCUUAGAUAUUACACAGAACACCAAUUGCGAAGGCAGCUUACUAAACUGUUACUGACGCUGAUGCACGAAAGCGUGGGGAGCGAACAGGA
rnacentral:rRNA from 1 species